AGCGCCUCAUUUGGAUGUGUCUGGAGUCUUGGAAGCUUGACUACCCUACGUUCUCCUACAAAUGGACCUUGAGAGCUUGUUUGGAGGUUCUAGCAGGCGAGCGCAGAUACUCAUAUACCCCUGACCGAAGAACGAUGGGAAGAGAACACC